rnacentral:rRNA from 1 species
GGAAGGAGAAGUCGUAACAAGGUUUUUCAAUGGUUCUUCUCGUCCAGUUUGGGUUCGAGACGCACGGAAGCCUUAGCAUUGUUCCCUCCGACAAAGGGGAGAUGCUAGUGCUGGCACGGUUGGCCAGCGCGACGUCGUCAAAGUGCGGGAACAUUCUUCUAUGCGCGGACCGGGGAUACCAAGCGUGGCAACAUGCGUUAAGUCACUUGUUGAACGUGGCCGGGAAAAAGACCCCGGGUAUGGUAAAAACUCCCCAUCCGUUGAAGUGUAAUCACUUCGAAGAAUUACCUGCAGCCAAUCUUUCUCUUGGAGAAAGUGCUGUUCACAGACUAAAUGACGACGGGUCACUUGGGUGUGGCUCAAGAUAUAGUCGGGCCUGUUUCCGAACAGGAUGCCACUUUGUAUGCCACAUGGCAUUCGUCUACUCCGCAAGAGUAUUCACCGUUC